CCGGCGACCGGCGCACGGGUGAGUAACACGUAUGCAACCUGGCCGCCACAGGGGGAUAACCCGCGGAAACGCGGCCUAAUACCCCGUGACGCCACCGGAGGGCAUCCUCCGGUGGCCAAAGGAGCGAUCCGGUGGCGGAUGGGCAUGCGGUGCAUUAGCUAGACGGCGGGGUGACGGCCCACCGUGGCGACGAUGCGUAGGGGUUCUGAGAGGAAGGCCCCCCACACUGGGACUGAGACACGGCCCAGACUCCUACGGAAGGCAGCAG
rnacentral:rRNA from 1 species